rnacentral:rRNA from 1 species
GGGCCCGCACAAGCGGCGGAGCAUGCGGAUUAAUUCGAUGCGACGCGAAGAACCUUACCUGGGUUUGACAUGCACUCUAAAGCCGCAGAGAUGUGGUGUCCUUCGGGGGGGUGCACAGGUGGUGCAUGGCUGUCGUCAGCUCGUGUCGUGAGAUGUUGGGUUAAGUCCCGCAACGAGCGCAACCCUCGUUCCAUGUUGCCAGCGGGUAAUGCCGGGGACUCAUGGGAGACUGCCGGGGUCAACUCGGAGGAAGGUGGGGAUGACGUCAAGUCAUCAUGCCCCUUAUGUCCAGGGCUUCACGCAUGCUACAAUGGCCGGUACAAUGGGCUGCGAUACCGUGAGGUGGAGCGAAUCCCAAAAAGCCGGUCUCAGUUCGGAUCGGGGUCUGCAACUCGACCCCGUGAAGUCGGAGUCGCUAGUAAUCGCAGAUCAGCAACGCUGCGGUGAAUACGUUCCCGGGCCUU